UACGUAGGGUGCAAGCGUUGUCCGGAAUUAUUGGGCGUAAAGAGCUCGUAGGCGGUCUGUCGCGUCGGCUGUGAAAACCCGGGGCUCGACCCCGGGCCUGCAGUCGAUACGGGCAGACUAGAGUGCGGUAGGGGAGACUGGAAUUCCUGGUGUAGCGGUGAAAUGCGCAGAUAUCAGGAAGAACACCCGUGGCGAAGGCGGCUCUCUGGGACGGUACUGACGCUGAGACGCGAAAGCGUGGGGAGCGAACAGG
rnacentral:rRNA from 1 species